rnacentral:misc_RNA from 1 species
GAAUUGCUUAUAAGGCCAAAAUACCUGUCAUAUUGCGUGCAACACGGUAUUAGGCUAUUGUUUGCUGCUUUGAACGUUGAAACCCUGUCAAAUUUUAUAUACUAAAUGUAAAUGCAAUUGAUCGAUAAUUUCAACGUAAGGAUACCGCAUCGUGCUGGCGGUACCAAAGGGGUUAACAUUUCGAUCUCGGUUGCUAUGGCGCAAAGCAAUCACACAGCAUUUAUACAGUUUAAAAGUGACAUGAUUUUUUGCUUUACUGUCGUUGAAGGGGUAGGAUUGAAGACCUAUAAAAACUACUUGAAUGCAUGUUUCCUUACUACACUGCUGUCAAGUGGUACCGUCGAUGCAAUAGGCAAACUUCAAGUCAAAAUGCAAGUUGCAGCCACGUACCGGACUAAACACUUAAUUUCUACUGCCAUACUAGCGACGCUUUUUUUAAUCGCAGGCGAAUUCUCCGAUGCCGAUCCUGAUGGACGGCACUUCAACUACCUCGCUUUUCAUAAUCCACCGUACGAUACUUUGAUUCGAGGACCAAAUGGCACCUUUACAACUUUCGGGGCAUCGCUUGAAUUGGUUAAAUGGCUGUCUGCAAAAUUUAAAUUUACGUUUAAUGUCUCCAUGGUAAAUCAAACCCUGAUUGAAAAAUACGGAACACACGAGGCUUCGUUUUAUCAACUUAUUAACGACAAAAAUGUAGAUGGAAUAGUGUGUUCCUUUUAUUUAACUAUGGACCGAGUGAAAAGGAUGGACUUUACAAGUCAGCAAACAUGGUCUGAAGGAUUUUGUCUUAUUGUUCCAAGACCUGUAGAAGAAAGCCGAUUGUUCGCUUUCAUCGGCCCGUUUCAACCUACGGUUUGGAUGCUGAUUUUUAUUAGUCUCUUUGUUUUGGUUGACAUGAUGACUCUAUUUACUUGGUUCUACAAUCGCCAACGUUGGAAUAAUUUGGGCAGUGCGACUGUAGAAACCGAAUUAAACAAUGAACCGAAUAGUAACAGACACAAAAGGAGCGGCUCGAUCCACAAAAGCGUUUUCAAUAAUUUCAGUUCUCAUAUGAUUUAUGUAAUUAACAUCAUGACAAACCAAGGAUGCCAAGAAGCAUUUAGCCGCACUUCUUUUCGACUUUUGACUGGAGUCUGGGUUUUAUGUGCUAUGGUUUUGGUGAAUUCCUACACGGGAAUCGUCACAUCAUCACUCACAACUCCAAAAAUGAAACCGUCCAUUGGAUCGCUGGAAGAAUUGGCUGCAAGUAAAGAUAUUGGCGUACUAAUUCGACAUGAUACGUCGAUCGGGGAACAGAUUUUAAAAGCAACUUCUGGCGUUUAUAAAGUUCUGGGAGAUCAAGCCCGGCUUCAUCCGGAUCAAAUACUCGGCGACCCUUUUACAUUGGCUUCAAAACUGGAAACUGGCCGCUACGCUUAUCCAUUUCGUUUGUCGGGAACCAAUACAAAAAGGAUGGAAAAUGCCGUUUUAAAGGGUCGAAACCUUUGCCGAUUUCAGCAGGAUAUUAUUCAUGGCUUUAUAAAAAGAACAGUUCAUACACUAAAGUGCAUAGCAGAGCAUUUUCAUAUCACUGAAAGAGAAUCAGCAUCCUGGUUGUCCUUCCAAGAGGUAAACUUUCAAAAACCGGGUGGAGAAAAUGAAUUCUGCAUUUAGAAUAAACAUUUGACUUAAUGAGAACCAUUUGGUUUUCCUUCCAAGGGAAAAGAAAUGAGCAACACCACCAAAAUUGUCAAAAAGUUCAUAGUUUGUUUUGUUCACCCGUUGACUUCUACCACUUGAAUCCCCCUCCAUAAUUCCUUAUUAGAAAGGGCCCCCUCUUAUUUUUGAGGUUAAUCCUGCGCCGCUACUCCAUGGACUGAAUUCCUUGUUGGAAACUGACGAGAGAUUAGAGACGACUGA